rnacentral:rRNA from 1 species
AACUACACAUAAGAGGUCCUGCCUGCCCUGUGACCCCUGGUUCAACGGCCGCGGUAUGUUGACCGUGCAAAGGUAGCGCAAUCACUUGUCUCUUAAAUGAGGACCUGUAUGAAUGGCACGACGAGGGCUUAACUGUCUCCUUUCCCCGGUCAGUGAAAUUGAUCUUCCCGUGCAGAAGCGGGAAUCCUAACAUAAGACGAGAAGACCCUAUGGAGCUUUAGACUUCAGAACAGAUCAUGUAAGCUACCCCCGUGAAAUAGGUAAUAACUAUUGAAUUUCUGUUCCCCUGUCUUUGGUUGGGGCGACCACGGGGAAGAAAAAAACCCCCAUGUGGACCAGGAGCACAUUACUCCUACAACCAUGAGCCACAGCUCUAAUGCACAAAAUUUUUGACCAUUAGAUCCGGCAAAGCCGAUCAACGGACCAAGUUACCCUAGGGAUAACAGCGCAAUCCCCUUUAAGAGUCCAUAUCGACAAGGGGGUUUACGACCUCGAUGUUGGAUCAAGACAUCCUAAUGGUGCAGCCGCUAUUAAGGGUUCGUUUGUUCAACGAUUAAAGUCUU